rnacentral:rRNA from 1 species
CCUACGGGGGGCAGCAGUGGGGAAUAUUGGACAAUGGGGGCAACCCUGAUCCAGCCAUGCCGCGUGUGUGAAGAAGGCCCUCGGGUUGUAAAGCACUUUCAGUGAGGAAGAACGCCUGGUGGUUAAUACCCAUCAGGAAAGACAUCACUCACAGAAGAAGCACCGGCUAACUCCGUGCCAGCAGCCGCGGUAAUACGGAGGGUGCGAGCGUUAAUCGGAAUUACUGGGCGUAAAGCGCGCGUAGGUGGCUUGAUAAGCCGGUUGUGAAAGCCCCGGGCUCAACCUGGGAACAGCAUCCGGAACUGUCAAGCUAGAGUGCAGGAGAGGAAGGUAGAAUUCCCGGUGUAGCGGUGAAAUGCGUAGAGAUCGGGAGGAAUACCAGUGGCGAAGGCGGCCUUCUGGACUGACACUGACACUGAGGUGCGAAAGCGUGGGUAGCAAACAGGAUUAGAUACCCUGGUAGUC